rnacentral:rRNA from 1 species
AUACGGAGGGAGCAAGCGUUAUUCGGAAUCACUGGGCGUAAAGGACGCGUAGGCGGGUUUGUGAGUCAGGUGUGAAAUCCUACAGCUCAACUGUAGAACUGCACUUGAAACUACAGACCUAGAGUAUGGAAGGGGCAGAUGGAAUUAGUGGUGUAGGGGUAAAAUCCGUAGAUAUCACUAGGAAUACCGAAAGCGAAGGCGAUCUGCUGGGACAUUACUGACGCUGAGGCGUGAAAGCGUGGGGAGCAAACAGGAUUAGAUACCCCAGUAGUCC